rnacentral:rRNA from 1 species
AUUGAACGCUGGCGGCAGGCUUAACACAUGCAAGUCGAGCGGGGUGAUGGUGCUUGCACUAUCACUUAGCGGCGGACGGGUGAGUAAUGCUUAGGAAUCUGCCUAUUAGUGGGGGACAACAUCUCGAAAGUGAUGCUAAUACCGCAUACGUCCUACGGGAGAAAGCAGGGGAUCACUUGUGACCUUGCGCUACUAGAUGAGCCUAAGGCGGAUUAGCUAGUGGGUGGGGUAAAGGCCUACCAAGGCGACGAUCUGUAGCGGGUCUGAGAGGAUGAUCCGCCACACUGGGACUGAGACACGGCCCAGACUCCUACGGGAGGCAGCAGUGGGGAAUAUUGGACAAUGGGGGGAACCCUGAUCCAGCCAUGCCGCGUGUGUGAAGAAGGCCUUAUGGUUGUAAAGCACUUUAAGCGAGGAGGAGGCUCUUUUGGUUAAUACCCAAGAUGAGUGGACGUUACUCGCAGAAUAAGCACCGGCUAACUCUGUGCCAGCAGCCGCAGUAA